rnacentral:misc_RNA from 1 species
UGGUUCUGGCAUCGAUGAAGAACGCAGCGAAAUGCGAUAAGUAGUGUGAAUUGCAGAAUUCAGUGAAUCAUCGAAUCUUUGAACGCACAUUGCGCCCCUCGGUAUUCCUUGGGGCAUGCCUGUUCGAGCGUCAUUUACACCCUCAAGCUCUGCUUGGUGUUGGGCGUCUGUCCUGCGCGGCCACCCCGCGCGGACUCGCCCCAAAGGCAUUGGCAGUGGUAUCGCCAGGUCUCCUAAUUGCGCAGCACUGUUCGCGCUUCCCGGAGCCUGUGCGGAACCAGCGUCCAUCAAGCCCAAUCUUCUGAACUUGACCUCGGAUCAGGUAGGGAUACCCGCUGA